AUUGAACGCUGGCGGCAGGCUUAACACAUGCAAGUCGAGCGGGGGAAGGUAGCUUGCUACUGGACCUAGCGGCGGACGGGUGAGUAAUGCUUAGGAAUCUGCCUAUUAGUGGGGGACAACAUCUCGAAAGGGAUGCUAAUACCGCAUACGUCCUACGGGAGAAAGCAGGGGAUCUUCGGACCUUGCGCUAAUAGAUGAGCCUAAGUCGGAUUAGCUAGUUGGUGGGGUAAAGGCCUACCAAGGCGACGAUCUGUAGCGGGUCUGGGAGGAUGACCCGCCAGACUGGGACUGAGACACGGCCCAGACUCCUACGGGAGGCAGCAGUGGGGAAUAUUGGACAAUGGGGGGAACCCUGAUCCAGCCAUGCCGCGUGUGUGAAGAAGGCCUUAUGGUUGUAAAGCACUUUAAGCGAGGAGGAGGCUACUCUAGUUAAUACCUAGGGAUAGUGGACGUUACUCGCAGAAUAAGCACCGGCUAACUCUGUGCCAGCCGCCGCCGUAA
rnacentral:rRNA from 1 species